GUGGGUUGGAAGAUAACAUGAUUAACUACAAAGAGUAAAGUUUUCUAAUUAGAUGUUUGUACUUGAUUUUAAUUUAUUUUAGGAACUUUAAAAACCAACACUACUUCUACUAUUUUUUUGAGUCUCUCACAUUUCUCAGAUGGAGAAAUGAAAACCCAUACAUGAGGGAUUUCAAGUGGGUAUUAUGGUCCCACUGAUGUACAUGCACCUCACCUAACAAUUAUUGAUGAUGUGCAAAUC
rnacentral:lncRNA from 1 species